rnacentral:lncRNA from 1 species
GAGUUGUCAUUCUCUCAUGGUAUCAGACGCUAAAGGCGAUUGAUCAAGGGAUCUUUGCUGCUGCACGAUCGUAGCAGUUCUUCCGCUAUUUUCCACUAUCUGGUUCAAGAUCGGCUCUUCUCUUGCUGGUUUUAUUUUUCUGCUGUCAUUUGUUAUCUUCUAUUCUUCCUUGUUACAGUUCAGUUGCAUUUUCUGCUAUUUGUUUUCGUUUUUUUCUCUCUCUAUUCGCGAUGGAACCACCAAGGCUACCUGUGGGUAAUAUAAAUCCAAUCAGACCUAGAGAGAUGGCUGCCCCAAAUCAAAUGUCUUACAGUCUCAACUCGUUAUGCACAAAUCCAAUGACGCUAGAAAAUUUUCUGACUUGGAAAAAUCGAAUUGAAGGUGUUCUUCGAUUUCGCAAGUAUUUGGGUUUUGUGAGAGGUAUGGUACAUGACGGUUCCACCUGCUAGAUUGGAUAAUGGUCAAAUAAAUCCAGAUUAUGAAGCACAUAUUGAGAUUGAUGAGAUAGUCUUAAGCUGGAUUAAAGUGACAGUCUCUUCUUCAAUCCAGACUUUGGUGAUUAGGUGCAAAUCAGCCUUUGAAGCAUGAGAAUUAUUGAAGAAAGAGUACUCACCAAUUGGAAAAUCUCAAAUUCAGACGCUACGAGAACAAAUGAGGGGUCCCCUGAGGUAUCAAUGCAAGAUUACUUAUUAAAAUUUAAAUUUUUAAGAAAUUCAUUGCUUACUACUGG